rnacentral:tRNA from 1 species
UCUAAUAUGGCAGAUUAGUGCAUUGGACUUAAGCCCCAAUAAUAAAAUUAUUUUUUUUAGAA